UUUUUUUAAAUGUUUAUGAAUUUUCGAAAAUUCCACCUGACAACCGAUCAGACAAUAGUUUUUAGUUGAAUACAUGCAGACAAGAUCAUUAACUGAUGCUCAUUAGCUAGUUGAUACAUUUGUCUUUUAAAAUACAACUGAUAUAUAAGGAUCGUAAUGGUGCAAUGUGGAUAAAUUUAUCGGUUUCCAAGAGCAAAAUUGGUAGCGCG
rnacentral:lncRNA from 1 species